rnacentral:rRNA from 1 species
AAAUUGAAGAGUUUGAUCAUGGCUCAGAUUGAACGCUGGCGGCAGGCCUAACACAUGCAAGUCGAACGGUAGCACAGAGAGCUUGCUCUCGGGUGACGAGUGGCGGACGGGUGAGUAAUGUCUGGGAAACUGCCUGAUGGAGGGGGAUAACUACUGGAAACGGUAGCUAAUACCGCAUAACGUCGCAAGACCAAAGAGGGGGACCUUCGGGCCUCUUGCCAUCAGAUGUGCCCAGAUGGGAUUAGCUAGUAGGUGGGGUAAUGGCUCACCUAGGCGACGAUCCCUAGCUGGUCUGAGAGGAUGACCAGCCACACUGGAACUGAGACACGGUCCAGACUCCUACGGGAGGCAGCAGUGGGGAAUAUUGCACAAUGGGCGCAAGCCUGAUGCAGCCAUGCCGCGUGUAUGAAGAAGGCCUUCGGGUUGUAAAGUACUUUCAGCGGGGAGGAAGGUGUUGUGGUUAAUAACCGCAGCAAUUGACGUUACCCGCAGAAGAAGCACCGGCUAACUCCGUGCCAGCAGCCGCGGUAAUACGGAGGGUGCAAGCGUUAAUCGGAAUUACUGGGCGUAAAGCGCACGCAGGCGGUCUGUCAAGUCGGAUGUGAAAUCCCCGGGCUCAACCUGGGAACUGCAUUCGAAACUGGCAGGCUAGAGUCUUGUAGAGGGGGGUAGAAUUCCAGGUGUAGCGGUGAAAUGCGUAGAGAUCUGGAGGAAUACCGGUGGCGAAGGCGGCCCCCUGGACAAAGACUGACGCUCAGGUGCGAAAGCGUGGGGAGCAAACAGGAUUAGAUACCCUGGUAGUCCACGCCGUAAACGAUGUCGACUUGGAGGUUGUUCCCUUGAGGAGUGGCUUCCGGAGCUAACGCGUUAAGUCGACCGCCUGGGGAGUACGGCCGCAAGGUUAAAACUCAAAUGAAUUGACGGGGGCCCGCACAAGCGGUGGAGCAUGUGGUUUAAUUCGAUGCAACGCGAAGAACCUUACCUACUCUUGACAUCCAGAGAACUUUCCAGAGAUGGAUUGGUGCCUUCGGGAACUCUGAGACAGGUGCUGCAUGGCUGUCGUCAGCUCGUGUUGUGAAAUGUUGGGUUAAGUCCCGCAACGAGCGCAACCCUUAUCCUUUGUUGCCAGCGGCUAGGCCGGGAACUCAAAGGAGACUGCCAGUGAUAAACUGGAGGAAGGUGGGGAUGACGUCAAGUCAUCAUGGCCCUUACGAGUAGGGCUACACACGUGCUACAAUGGCGCAUACAAAGAGAAGCGACCUCGCGAGAGCAAGCGGACCUCAUAAAGUGCGUCGUAGUCCGGAUUGGAGUCUGCAACUCGACUCCAUGAAGUCGGAAUCGCUAGUAAUCGUAGAUCAGAAUGCUACGGUGAAUACGUUCCCGGGCCUUGUACACACCGCCCGUCACACCAUGGGAGUGGGUUGCAAAAGAAGUAGGUAGCUUAACCUUCGGGAGGGCGCUUACCACUUUGUGAUUCAUGACUGGGGUGAAGUCGUAACAAGGUAACCGUAGGGGAACCUGCGGUUGGAUCACCUCCUUACCUUAAAGAA